rnacentral:rRNA from 1 species
UUGAACGCUGGCGGCAUGCCUUACACAUGCAAGUCGAACGGCAGCACGGGAGCAAUCCUGGUGGCGAGUGGCGAACGGGUGAGUAAUGUAUCGGAACGUACCUUCAGGUGGGGGAUAACGUAGCGAAAGUUACGCUAAUACCGCAUAUUCUGUGAGCAGGAAAGCAGGGGAUCGCAAGACCUUGCGCUGAUUGAGCGGCCGAUAUCAGAUUAGCUAGUUGGUGAGGUAAAGGCUCACCAAGGCGACGAUCUGUAGCGGGUCUGAGAGGAUGAUCCGCCACACUGGAACUGAGACACGGUCCAGACUCCUACGGGAGGCAGCAGUGGGGAAUUUUGGACAAUGGGCGCAAGCCUGAUCCAGCCAUGCCGCGUGAGUGAAGAAGGCCUUCGGGUUGUAAAGCUCUUUCAGCCGGGAAGAAAACGCAUGGGUUAAUACCCUGUGUGGAUGACGGUACCGGAAUAAGAAGCACCGGCUAACUACGUG